UGGGGAAUUUUGGACAAUGGGCGAAAGCCUGAUCCAGCAAUGCCGCGUGUGUGAAGAAGGCCUUCGGGUUGUAAAGCACUUUUGUCCGGAAAGAAAUCCUUGGCUCUAAUACAGUCGGGGGAUGACGUACCGGAAGAAUAAGCACCGGCUAACUACGUGCCAGCAGCCGCGGUAAUACGUAGGGUGCAAGCGUUAAUCGGAAUUACUGGGCGUAAAGCGUGCGCAGGCGGUUUGCUAAGACCGAUGUGAAAUCCCCGGGCUCAACCUGGGAACUGCAUUGGUGACUGGCAGGCUAGAGUAUGGCAGAGGGGGGUAGAAUUCCACGUGUAGCAGUGAAAUGCGUAGAGAUGUGGAGGAAUACCGAUGGCGAAGGCAGCCCCCUGGGCCAAUACUGACGCUCAUGCACGAAAGCGUGGGGAGCAAAACAGGAUUAGAUACCCUGGUAGUCCCACGCCCUAAACGAUGUCAACUAGUUGUUGGGGAUUUCAUUUCCUUAGUAACGUAGCUAACGCGUGAAGUUGACCGCCUGGGGAGUACGGUCG
rnacentral:rRNA from 1 species